rnacentral:rRNA from 1 species
GAGCGGACAGAUGGGAGCUUGCUCCCUGAUGUUAGCGGCGGACGGGUGAGUAACACGUGGGUAACCUGCCUGUAAGACUGGGAUAACUCCGGGAAACCGGGGCUAAUACCGGAUGGUUGUUUGAACCGCAUGGUUCAAACAUAAAAGGUGGCUUCGGCUACCACUUACAGAUGGACCCGCGGCGCAUUAGCUAGUUGGUGAGGUAACGGCUCACCAAGGCAACGAUGCGUAGCCGACCUGAGAGGGUGAUCGGCCACACUGGGACUGAGACACGGCCCAGACUCCUACGGGAGGCAGCAGUAGGGAAUCUUCCGCAAUGGACGAAAGUCUGACGGAGCAACGCCGCGUGAGUGAUGAAGGUUUUCGGAUCGUAAAGCUCUGUUGUUAGGGAAGAACAAGUACCGUUCGAAUAGGGCGGUACCUUGACGGUACCUAACCAGAAAGCCACGGCUAACUACGUGCCAGCAGCCGCGGUAAUACGUAGGUGGCAAGCGUUGUCCGGAAUUAUUGGGCGUAAAGGGCUCGCAGGCGGUUUCUUAAGUCUGAUGUGAAAGCCCCCGGCUCAACCGGGGAGGGUCAUUGGAAACUGGGGAACUUGAGUGCAGAAGAGGAGAGUGGAAUUCCACGUGUAGCGGUGAAAUGCGUAGAGAUGUGGAGGAACACCAGUGGCGAAGGCGACUCUCUGGUCUGUAACUGACGCUGAGGAGCGAAAGCGUGGGGAGCGAACAGGAUUAGAUACCCUG